ACCUUCCGCCAUGAUUGUGAGGCUUCCCCAGCCAUGUGGAAACAUAUUCGCAGAGCACCCACUAGGUGCCAGUAAAUGUAUGAGAAGUCCUGUGGAAUAAGACUGAAGUUGUCCUUGCCUUCAAGCAACUUGCAAUUGCCUAAGAACACAGUUUAAAACCACAAAACUAAGAAAAAGAGAGAGCGAGCGAGAGAAAGAAUAGCUACAUGUGAUUAUCUGAAGCUGAAAGCCAAGCACAAGUUAGAUAGCAGCCAUGAACGCAAUGCCCAGUUUUGAAGAGGAGCUUAAAACAUAACCUUGGAAAUCACAUGCUGUCAUUUCUGCGAUCGGUCAUAACCAGUCCUGAUUCCAUGUUAGAGGAGACUACAUAAGGACACAGGUACCAGAAGGCUGUACAGGAAGCAAGAUGCUGGCCAUCUGCUCAGCUUCUGGGGAGGCCUCAGGAAACUUUCAGUCAUGGCAGAAAGCAAAGGGGAAAUAGGAGACUAACCAGCAUGGGCUACAUCAAAAAGGCUGCCAUCUACUUUCUGCUGGGUAGGGGCACCAGAGAGACUUGUCAGAAACUAGAAGGAAGGUAGAGUGCGAAAUCUGAGUGUUAAUUCCCUGGCUUCAUCAAAGGACACUGGUCUUCACAAGGAAACAGACUACAUGAUUCUCCUUUUGGGCUUCAGUAAAAACCCCCUCCUUUCAUCCCUUAGUCUAGGGAUGGUAAGAGGUCAGCAGCUAAGAAUUCUAGGUUCUUUGUGGUUUUCCCGUAUACAUGUCUUUGAUGAUAGCCCCUUUGGAAAUAAAUUCUCCUAGACUU
rnacentral:lncRNA from 1 species